rnacentral:rRNA from 1 species
ACGCUGGCGGCGUGCUUACACAUGCAAGUCGAACGGACUGAUAAGGCAGCUUGCUGCUUUUGAAAGUUAGUGGCGGACGGGUGAGUAACGCGUGGGUAACCUGCCUCACACAGGGGGAUAACAGUUGGAAACGACUGUUAAUACCGCAUAAGCGCACAGUAUCGCAUGAUACAGUGUGAAAAACUCCGGUGGUGUGAGAUGGACCCGCGUCUGAUUAGCUAGUUGGUGAGGUAACGGCCCACCAAGGCGACGAUCAGUAGCCGGCCUGAGAGGGUGUACGGCCACAUUGGGACUGAGACACGGCCCAAACUCCUACGGGAGGCAGCAGUGGGGAAUAUUGGACAAUGGGGGCAACCCUGAUCCAGCGACGCCGCGUGAGCGAAGAAGUAUCUCGGUAUGUAAAGCUCUAUCAGCAGGGAAGAUAAUGACGGUACCUGACUAAGAAGCACCGGCUAAAUACGUGCCAGCAGCCGCGGUAAUACGUAUGGUGCAAGCGUUAUCCGGAUUUACUGGGUGUAAAGGGUGCGUAGGUGGUAUGGUAAGUCAGAUGUGAAAACUAUGGGCUCAACCCAUAGAUUGCAUUUGAAACUGCCAAACUAGAGUGCAGGAGAGGAAAGUGGAAUUCCUAGUGUAGCGGUGAAAUGCGUAGAUAUUAGGAGGAACACCAGUGGCGAAGGCGGCUUUCUGGACUGUUACUGACACUGAGGCACGAAAGCGUGGGGAGCAAAUAGGAUUAGAUACCCUGGGUAGUCCACGCCCGUAAACGAUGAAUACUAGGUGUCGGGAGAUUAAGAUCCCGGGUGCCGUCGCUAACGCAUUAA